CCUACGGGAGGCAGCAGUGGGGAAUAUUGCACAAUGGGGGAAACCCUGAUGCAGCGACGCCGCGUGAGUGAAGAAGUAUUUCGGUAUGUAAAGCUCUAUCAGCAGGGAAGAAAAUGACGGUACCUGUUUAAGAAGCCCCGGCUAACUACGUGCCAGCAGCCGCGGUAAUACGUAGGGGGCAAGCGUUAUCCGGAUUUACUGGGUGUAAAGGGAGCGUAGACGGUGAUGCAAGUCAGAAGUGAAAGCCCGGGGCUCAACUCCGGGACUGCUUUUGAAACUGUGUGACUGGAGUGCAGGAGAGGUAAGCGGAAUUCCUGGUGUAGCGGUGAAAUGCGUAGAUAUCAGGAGGAACACCAGUGGCGAAGGCGGCCUACUGGACUGUAACUGACGUUGAGGCUCGAAAGCGUGGGGAGCAAACAGGAUUAGAUACCCGUGUAGUC
rnacentral:rRNA from 1 species